ACAUGUCUAGCUUUCCUUUUGAAAUGUUUCAGAGCCUAGCAGACAAGUGCUAAAAUGUAUAGAGCAGUAAUGAACACCUGGAAGGAGUUGUGCAGAGAAGUGUAAUACCCCAGAGAGCAUGUCUUUUGGGCCCCUAGAAGGUCUCCAGCAUCUAUGGGAGACUGGCUCCAGUGCUACUUCAUGAAUGGUUUCUAUUUCAUUUUGCCUUCCUCAGACUACUGUACUUCCAUUUAUCCCAGUUCAUGGACAUUUCUAGCAUCCCUGGCUUAUAUCCAAUCUCUGAAAGCCUGACCAGAUUAGAAGACAGCACUUCCAUUUUGUGGAGACAUCCAACCUGAGGGCAGUGCCCCAAGCAAGCAAGCGGUGCUAGCCAACCUCAGUCAGCCAGUGGCAGGACACCUGCAAGUGACAGCCAGGAGCAUGGGGAGACAGGGAGAAGGAAGGUGGAAGUAAAAAAGUGACUGUCCCAGUGCCAGACUGGAACAGCGGUGUUAGUCUGGGUCUCCUGGCAAGCAGAAUUCAGCUGGGAGCUGUUCCGCUCACUGCUUGUCGAUUAGGUUUCCCUCCUGUGUGCCUUCUGCCUCCAGCCUUUGCCUCACUGAUCUUAUGUUCAGAUGUGGCUUGGGGGACUCCCAGGCCCAAGGAAUUCAGGGUUUUUUUCAACACAAGUGUGGAGCACAAACAAGGCACUGUUUUCCCCCCUACUGUUUGAAGGACUUAUCCUUGCUCAGUUUCCCCUCCCACCACAUUCAGCCCAUCAUCUCCAGCUGCAUCUAUUUCAUAUUGGCUCCUUAACUAACUUGGAUUAACUUAAUCACCUGUCAGCUACACACUUCACCUGUUCCUUUCUUUCAUCCUUUCUAUAACCAAUUUUAAUGUUGAUAUAAAUUAUGCAGAAUAGAAAAAAUACAACCACAGUAGCAUUAUCUCAUAAAUAAGCAUUAUAAACCGAGCUCUCAGCAUGAACUGUUUUCCCCUGAACUGUUUCGCAAACUGCAAAUGUUCUGCAGACAGGGAAACAGUCCUUCAUUUCAAAUUAGACAGCACAUAUUCAUGAACUGAAAAACCUGGGAAAAAAAUGGUUCAAGUAAACAGAAAUGGCUUAUUUCAAUGAUUUCAAAACUCAGUGCAUAACAACAGUCCUUUUACAGACUCCCAUGGUAAUGAAGUGUGUGGAAGCAGCCCUUUCCUAGCCAGUUUUGAACCUGUUUGCCAGAUGCAAUCAAAUGAGAAGGAAGUGUAGUGAACCCUUGGGGGGAUGAAGUUCCCUUAGGCUUCCCAUGGUUGGGUGGAGACGUGGAAAGGAAACUUGUGCUACGUGUAAGUGUCCAGGCACAGGGAAGCCUGGCAAGUGACUUCAUGCACAGAGUGCAUGGAAAAGCUCCAACAGCCCCAGACAUUUCCAGCUGGUCUCCAGAUCUAUAUCAAAGAAGAAGCCAGCUGAAACCACAUGCUUCACUGUGCCCACUUAGUGCCUGGGGAAUAACACACGGAGAACAUUUUCUCUUGAAUGUUUCUGAUCAUUUCUAAUCAUUAACUCAGAAAUGUUGAAAGGUUCAAAGAAGGAAACGCAGAAAGACUCUUGGUGUGACCUCAGGUCUGGCAUUUGGCAAAUCAUAAUAAUGAGGCAAUUAUGAUUGAUAUGAUUUAGUUAUUAUGGACCCUGGUUAAAUGUCAUUCAUUUUUUUAAGUGUAAAGAGCACUGAGUUACAUCAUACUCUAGUGAAGACCUCUUUAAAAAUAAUGGCCCUCCAUGCCAGCUGUGCCGAGGUGUGGUAGGACUGUAUCUGCACUGCCUCUGGUAACUCAGCUCAGGUCUGUGGCUCAAACAGCUCAGGCUUGUGCAUUUGUUUUCUUUCUGGAGCAGCCAAGCCUGAACUCCCAUUGAUCCUUGGAAACGCUGAAACUCGCUGCCUAGAGAAUCCAUCAUCCCAUUCCUGAUGUGUGCCAGAGCAUGGACCAACCUCCAGGUUUUGCCAGAGGCCUGGAAAGGGGGUCAGAUAGCAUGGACUGAGGGGUGCAUUUUGAACCCUGGGACUUCUGAGCAGAUCACAAGCAGCUAUUGCUUAUUUUGAGGAGAGGUAUAAUUAUCAUUCCUAUCCAAUAGAGAGGAACUGUAGUCACAGAAAACCAUUUUUCCCAUUGUCAUAUUUGAAACGAAUGACAGUCUCUAGCUCUAUUCAUGACCUUUGGCUCUUGGGGAGGCUGUUCCCUGGCACCCCUCAGCAGUGUUGCAAUUCUCUGUGCUCUGGUAGGUGUUCUAGAGGGAUGCUGCUGUGAUACUUUUUACCAGAAGCUGUAAAUAACGCUGAUGUUUGCACUACUGAUUCAAGGAUAUUUAAAUCUCGUGCUUCUGGCCAUCGAUUGGAGCCAGACAGAGUAGAAAGAAAUUCCUGCAUGUGCAGUUUCCAAACCCACCAGAUUGUGUGGGCACUUGUUUUUAACUCUUCUUCAAGUGGGUGUUCAGGGCCGGGCACCAUCUAAAAACUAGGGUCAGUAUUUUCUUGGCUUUGG